rnacentral:rRNA from 1 species
UACGAAGGGGGCUAGCGUUACUCGGAUUGACUGGGCGUAAAGGGCGCGUAGGCGGCUUGUACAGUCAGACGUGAAAUUCCUGGGCUCAACCUGGGGGCUGCGUUUGAUACGUGCGGGCUUGAGUUCGGAAGAGGGUCGUGGAAUUCCCAGUGUAGAGGUGAAAUUCGUAGAUAUUGGGAGGAACACCAGUGGCGAAGGCGGCUCGCUGGGCCGGUCCUGACGCUGAGACGCGAAGGCGUGGGGAGCGAACGGG